rnacentral:lncRNA from 1 species
CCUCACCCGCGCUCGAAUGUACUGGGGUCCUGGGUCCGGCUUCCUUUGAUCACGGUGCACGUGCACAGACGAAGUGCAUAAUAUGACGCAUGUGAAAUCAGCCAGCAUUUAUUGGACCGUGGGGGCCACUGGCAGCUACGGACCAAUUAUAACGAACUGAAAGCAUCAGACGCUUUUGUACAACAUUUCGCGGAUUCCGUGAGAUAUUCGCUACCUUGCUUGGAGAGAUUCGGUUGGAUGAUACAGUAUUAAUGGUUAGUAACGGGAAGAUUCCAACGUGAGGAUUCCCCCGUGAUAAAUCAGUAUGGAUUGGACAGUGUCAGAAAGCACUUUGAGAGGAAUUGAAAGGCACUAUGCUGGUGAUCGGCAGGCCCGGACCAAGAGUAUAGGACACAGGACUGAUUUCUUGUGUAAUGAGACAGAGAACGGCCCUCCUCCUCCUCUCCAGACCCACAGCCUCAGAGAGUUUGAACAGGUAAGGGCUUGUCUUCCUCUCUCCUAUUCUUAUGGUCUGGUACAGUGUGGUAGUCAGUGUUCAGACCUGU